rnacentral:rRNA from 1 species
CCUACGGGGGCAGCAGUGGGGAAUAUUGCACAAUGGGGGGAACCCUGAUGCAGCGACGCCGCGUGGGUGAAGAAGUCAUUCGUGACGUAAAGCCCUAUCAGCAGGGAAGAAAAUGACGGUACCUGACUAAGAAGCCCCGGCUAACUACGUGCCAGCAGCCGCGGUAAUACGUAGGGGGCAAGCGUUAUCCGGAUUUACUGGGUGUAAAGGGAGCGUAGACGGCGAAGAAAGUCUGAAGUGAAAGCCCGCGGCUUAACCGCGGAACUGCUUUGGAAACUUUUUUGCUGGAGUACCGGAGAGGUAAG